AAAACUUUAUUAUAAUUUAGUAUAUCUCGUUGUCGUUGAGAAGGUUUUAAGUUUUA
rnacentral:tRNA from 1 species